AACGAACGCUGGCGGCGCGUCUUACCCAUGCAGGUCGAACGGAAGGGAGGAGCUUGCUUCUCUUCCUGGGUGGCGGACCGGGUAGGAAAACGUUGGGUAUCCUCCCCUUAGAUUGGGGAUGCCUCCAGAAAAAGCAGGUAAUUCCCAAUUCACUCCGCAUUAUACAAGGGGUGGUGAGGAAAGGUAGCUACGGCUUUGCUUGAGGAUGAGCUUGCGUCCCAUUAGCUAGUUGGUGAGGUAAAGGCCCACCAAGGCGACGAUGGGUAUCCGGACUGAGAGGGUGAACGGACACAUUGGGACUGAGAUACGGCCCAAACUCCUACGGGAGGCAGCAGCUAAGAAUAUUCCGCAAUGGACGGAAGUCUGACGGAGCGACGCCGCGUGGAUGAAGAAGGCUGAAAAGUUGUAAAAUCCUUUUGUUGAUGAAGAAUAAGGGUGAGAGGGAAUGCUCAUCUGAUGACGGUAAUCGACGAAUAAGCCCCGGCUAAUUACGUG
rnacentral:rRNA from 1 species